CCGCAGCUCCCAGCCUCGCCUCGUUGUGAAGGGCGGGGAAGGCGGCGCCGGGAGGGCUGUGCCGAGCUCUGAAGCGUGUGUCGGGGAGUCGAGUCAUCGCCGUGCUCCAUCUUCAUUUCGUGCCUUGUGGGAGAGAGCGGGAAGAGUGGCUGAGGCCAGUGGAAUGAAACUGAAAGCACCUGUGAAAAUGCUUUGAUUCGAGCGUUUCUCUGCUCCCUUUCACCUGUCACGUAUUAAGUUUUUUGCUUCAGCUGUUGCUGUUGUCUUCCUGUAAUGGCUUCUUUAUUGCCAGAUCUUGCUGCUGGAGCGUUGGCAGUAGCAGACCUUCUGUUGUGUAGGUUGGAGAUCCAGCCCUGCUUGUGCUGUGCUGGUUUGGAUAGCUGAUGCUGUACCCAGAGGGAAGCACAGCGUGCUUUAGAGAAAGGCUGGCGAUGGGACCGCAGCUCUGCACUCACUGGCGCUGCCCUUUGCUGCCUGAGAUGCUCUGUGAGUGCAGAGAGGAUUGGGAGCUCACAGCUGGGACAUCAGUGCUUGUGUGCGUGAGCCAGAGCAGAGGGCUGAUAUGUGCCUCUAACAGUACCUGCGCUGAUGCCUUAGAUUUCUUGCGUAGAUUUAUCCUAUGCUUUUUGUGCUCUACUUUCUUGUCUAAAAUAAAAAUCAUGCAUCUCUGUAGACAAGUGUUGCUGUGUGUCGUUGCCAGACGAUGAUCCUGAGUCAUUGCUGUAGAAGGAAAACAUUUUUUAAAUGCCAAGUCUUCUGGCUGUCUUGUAGAAUCAGAAUGGUGCACUCAUUGAAGCACUGAUGGAGUAGGGUUAGUUCUUACAGCUGUUGUAUGGAGAAAAAAACGUCUGUGCGUUUUAUAUUCCUGUGUGAUUGCUUGUUUAUGUCUGUGUUGCGUCCUCUUGGAUGCAGUCCUUGACACUGCUAAGUGUUUUUCUUCUAGAAGCUACGAGGUGCCUUUGGAAGCUGCAUCUGUUGUUGAGAGCUUCUUUCUUUUGUAUUUGGAAAGUGGUGGUUGCUGGAGAAGUAGGCAGUUGGUGACAGAGGAAGGUGGUGCUUUCCCAGGAGCUUCCUUUUUUUGGAAGGCUUUUCCUGACUCUACUCCAGAGAGCUCAUAUGCUGUCAAACAGCCUUUCCUAAAAUCAAAGUCAGAAUGGUAGCCUCCUGUAUAAUACUGAGUUUUCAGAGGAAACAACUGAAAAUGUCUCAGAAUCCCCACAAGCCGCAUUCAAGCGAAGAAAAGUUGAGUGCCUUGGAGGAUGAUCAAGAGAGCUUGGACAACUCGGAGCAGUCUGUCAGGAAGAGAAUACAACAAAGUGUUCCAGGUUCAUGUGGAGAUGAUACACCAAAGUCUAGCCCUCCUCGGCCCGUGUCAGUGGAAGAGUUAAUGGAAACAGCUAAGGGAGUAACCAACAUGGCACUAGUACACGAGAUUGUUGUUAAUAGAGACUUCCAGAUCAAACCAGCUGAGUUACCAGAACACAGCUUGGAAAAAAAAGUAAGAGAGAUUGUGCACAAAGUUUUCUGGGAUUGUCUGGAAGCUCAGCUGAAGGAAGAGCCACCGACAUACGACCACGCAAUUAAACUGUUGGGAGAAAUUAAAGAGAAUCUUCUGUCUUUUUUACUUCCUGGUCAUACAAGAUUAAGAAACCAGAUUAUGGAAGUUCUUGAUCUGGAUUUGAUAAAACAGGAGGCCAAAAAUGGGGCUCUGGACAUUGCUAAGUUGAUAGAAUUUGUUACUGGAAUGAUGGGGACUCUCUGUGCUCCAGCUCGAGAUGAAGAAAUUAAGAAACUGAAAGAUAUACAUGAAAUAGUUCCUCUCUUCAGAGCAAUUUUCUCUGUGUUAGACCUAAUGAAAAUGGAUAUGGCAAACUUCGCUAUCACUAGUAUUAGGCCAAAAUUAAUGCAGCAGUCUGCUGAAUAUGAAAGAAAGAAGUUUCAGGAGUUUCUUGAGAAACAGCCAAAUUCUUUAGACCUUGUCACAGACUGGUUGCAGGAAGCAGCAGAUGAUCUUGCAAAGCUGAGACAUAAAAAGUUCCCUCCCCCCAGCAGUGCUGUUGGUGCUGCUGGUGGAGCUGCUGCGUUGUGCUCCACUGCCAUACAGAAUCAGGCAUAUCUGAAGCUGUUGAAGUGGGAUCACACAAACAGGCCUUUCCCAGAAACAGUGCUCAUGGACCAGAGGCGCUUUCAGGAAAUACAGCUGGAACUGGAGCAGCUCCUCAUGGCUGGAACUGUCCUUCUGGUCACGUUCAAUGCAGCGGGCGCAGCUCUCAUCGAUGUGCCUGGAUUUGCUGAGAAAAUCAAAACCAUUGUCAGGGUGCUGCUGACAGGAAUGCAUCUCCCCUCCUUUAACCUGAAGGAGUCUUUGGCCACCAUUGGUGAGAAGGUGUGUGCUGAAGUCAACAGCUGCCUUUCCCAGCAUGGCUUUGCACCGUUCACAGCUGAGAAAGAAACUGUGCUGAAAGGACAGAUCCAAGCAGUGGCCAACCCUGAUAACACCAUCUGUAAACUAAUAGAUUCUCGAAUUCAGAAGUUUCUGGAGCAUUGUCUUGCAUCUAGUCACCAGAAAGCGGUGCCGACUGUUCCUGGAGGAUUAGGCCCUAUUCAGAGAGAGCUGGAAGAGAUUGCUGUCAAGUAUGUUCGUCUUGUCAACUACAACAAGAUGGUCUUCAGUCCUUACUACGAUGCUGUUCUUGGCAAAAUACUGACUAAGGAAGAACCCCAGCUUGUAGGGAUGCCGGAGGAAUCGUGAACACAGUUUGUGUACCAAUGCAGUAUUAAUUUUAUCAGCUAUUUUGAAAAAUUGCACCAGUGUUUGUCUAGGAAAACAGCUCUCCAUGUGAAUACUAUUUCCUUUUAAGUCACUCGUGCUGCCCGAUGAGGAAAAUGCGUGAAUUGCAAUAGGGGCUCUGAGAUAAGUGAUGAAGGAGGGAUGCAUUUUUAAUGUAAGUAUACAGCUUUUGUGAGGGAGUGUUGUGGUAGUUUUCUGGCUAUAAGAUUUCCAGGCAGGUGCUAUGUAGGAAAAGUUAAACAGCCAAACUCUGUUCUUAAGUGGUUCAUUUUAGUGUUUUUUAUUCUCAUUUGUCGUGAAUUUGGUUUCACUCAUCCACAGCAGGUUAGCAGUGGUCCUUCCCUGCAGGGAAAUGUGGCUUUUCAAAAAGAUCUUACUUUAAAGACUUCAGUAAGCUAAAACUCUAGGUAGGAGAAACCUUAACAGGCGAAAAACAAAGCCAAACAGCACUUACUGUAUCAUUAUGGUUGGUGUGGUAGGCUACUAAGUUUUUCUUUCAGCAUUUUUCUGCAUUUUUAAUAGGUUUUUUUUUUGCUGUUUACCUGCAGAUGUUACAGAAACAGAGUGUAUUUUUGUAGCAAAUUUUCUGGUUAUUGGGUAACUGUCCUCUGCUUUGUACAGUACUUAACAAGGUGGCAAUCUUACAGAUUGCAGCUGUAUUUAUCUCCUGUAAAGACUUCAGAAAGGCAGAGCUAAAAUGUUUUGAUAAAAGUGGCGUUUCUUACCUUUUUUUUGCUAGUAGUUUACUCCUUUUUAUGUGAAAUACUGAUUUUGAAGUUAAUCUGUGCCAUUUACAGAAGGUGGACUUUAAGUGUGUUAAACUUUAGGACAAAACUUCUACUUGUUUUUUAAAACUACUAUUUGAGAUGGGUGCAUUUUCAGUCAUGUCUUCAAAGAUAUCCAGGAGGUGCAGAGCACUAUUAGAAGUGCGAGUGAGUUUAAAUUGUAGUGGGAAGUGCAUUAUUUAAUAUUAGUUUGAAUACGCAAGGAAUGUUUUUAAUAGAAGAUUUUAUUCUUUUUUACAUUACAGAGAUGAUUUUAAAACCUUAAAUAUUUAAGGUCUUCAAUUUCAUUAGUUAUGUGUUGUAUAGACGAGGGUUCACAGAAGAGCUCAGUGAUCUUACAGCCUUAUUGCAGUUUUAAACUCAGCUAGGAGCUCUCCAGCCUGUCCAGGUCUUGCUGAAUGGCAACACAGCCUUCAGGUGUGUCAGCCAAUCCUCCUAACAUCGUAUCAUCAGCAAUAUCAUCAAUAUCAUCAGCAAUAUCAUCAGCAAUCAGGAUACUACAGAGGUCUUCAAGGUUUCUGCAGCUCCUUACUGUACUUUGUUAUUAGUCCGGAAUCCAUCUUGAAAUACAGUCUCUAGCUCUGGAGCUGCAAAAAAAUUAAUUCAGUAGUCUGGGUAAUACAGGCACUACCCAAAACAUGUUUGCAGUUUAAAAAACAAUACAAAACAGACAAACCUGUUUUCCUUUUUGCAAUUGAGAGUUGCUGAAGUUUAGAACCGAAUGCUGUUAUUUUACUAUUCCCCAGAGGCUUCUUUUAAAGGCCUCCAAACUAAGCAUAGGACAAGCAGUUGGAUGUUGUGAGGUGCUGGUCUCAGGGAUGCAGGGAAGAACAGCGCAGUGUUUAGAAAAGCAUGUGACUGAUGGCAGAAUGAGUGGGACUGAGUUAUGGGCAGGUAAGGUGGUACUUACUGGAGUGCUCCCAGUCUGUGACUGCCUACUCCAGCCUACUGUGACAUGGAAGCACAGACUGUGCUGCUGCUCAUGCACGUGUACUGCUCACAGGGUAUAUCCAGUAAGUUCAUCUCUUCUCUCAGUAGGGAUCUGUCCUGGGCUUAGCAUAGGAAAAAAUGCAGUGCUCACACCUGGCUCUGGGCUUGCCUUUGGAGGUUACACACUGGAAACCUGGAGUGCCUCUGUUUCUUUAAGCUUCUGUAGGCCUGGCAACUGGAAAAGAUCUAAAAGAGGCUGUAAGAGGUUCCCACGAAAAAUCACAUUAGUGACUUUUCCCUGGUCACUGUUUAAUGAUUGUCAUUGACAAAUAGUUUCUCUGCAUUGUCUUUAAAAGCAAUAGGCAGAUGUAAUUAAGUGACAGAGCAAAAAAAAAGGUAGGAUUGAUAUGGCUGCUGUACCUUACCUCUAUGUCAGUAUUCAUACAUGCGCUGUUCCAUCUUUUCUUUCUGGUAGAUAGGAGCAAUGACCUACAGUUAUCUCUACUGCUGGUGGUGGGAAUGUCCUUCAGCUUGUCUGAGUACCUGAAUUCCCUGUCCAUCGUGGGUGUUCUUACAGUCUCAGGAGAGCACAGCCCUGAAUAGUCCAUUACAAGUUAAAAUCUAAAGUAUAUAUAGUAACUGCUUCAAAAGUUCAUAUGGCUUUUCUUUUUUUAUUAGCUCAUUUAAAAGUAACCAGUUAACCUCAGUAGCUAAUAUAUUAACACUUAAUCAUGUGCAAGCUAAGUGGAGGACUAAUGCAGGUGUCCAGGAACAGGCUGCAGUGGCUAGUACUCCCGGCCAGCCCACGUUACAGACCUGUAACUGGUCUGUGUUACAUUGGUAACUUCUUUAAACAGUCCUGGAAUUCAAAGUAAAGGAAUACUGUUUCCUCUAGAGAAACUGAACAGAAAGCUAAUUCCUGUAUGUACGCUCUGAUCAAUUUCCUGUGAUGGUUUUAAUUCUUGGUAACAUUGCUUUCAAAGUUGCUGAGUAGUAUUUAAAAAGUAAUUUGUUGUGUUUGAAUAAAAGCAGAAUGAGGCAUGA